ACAGUAUGCAACUUGUGUCACAGUGGGAUGUUGAUAAAUCAGAAAGCUUUGCAUUAUGUUUGCAAGUGCCUUAGCAUGCUUAUACAUAGCUUAUAUUAACUUACUAACAGCUAACAUGUCCUCUCUGGUAGACAAAAGGUGCUAAAAUUAUUUUUUUCACAUGCUUAAAUCUCAU